rnacentral:lncRNA from 1 species
CAACGCCCCACCCCGUGCAAUACUAUCCAGGGCAGCUGGUCUGUGGGGACAAUGUGCUACAAAGCCUGUGUGUGUGUGUAUGUGUGUGUGUGUGUGUGUGUGUGUGCAGAUGGCAUCUCUGUAAGAUCUAGAACAGGUGCCCAGUGAAUGCUGAAUGCUGCCAGUCAGGAAAUGGCAAGGGCUGGAGGCUAGAUAGGGCCUUCAUGCAGAUGUAGACUCUGCUCCUUAGAACAGAGACAUCCUUGCUGCCAGGCGAGCAGUGCAGGGGGCGCCUCAAAACCCUGCCGCUGAAGCUGGGUACUUGCCUCCCACAACCAGUGGGCCAAUGGAAGAAACAACGCUAACAUAGUAUCUCAUCGCUGCAAGGCUGCUACUGACCCCGAGGUUUACUGCCUCCAAUCCAGGAGAGAGGAGCUUGCCAGAAGCUGGAGCUGAGUAGCCUCGCCAUUCCUAUUCCCGGUGGAGACUAAGACAGACAGUAUCAGAGGCAUGGCCUGAGUCUUGGAGAUUGUGGGCCCUCUGUGGAGUUGAGCUCAGUAGAGCAGUGGACACCAUACCUCCAGAGGCUCUCCUGACAUCACCUCUCAUCUUGGCUGUGGACGGACAUACCCAAGGUUCCUCUGCAGGUGUCAAGUCCUGCCUGUACAGCCGCGCAGGGCAGGCCAUCGAGAGAACUAAGCAGUGCAUGCUUUCUGCACUGCCUGUGUCGAGCUUGUCAGGUGUGCAGAGUCCAUGUAAGUGCGCGUCAGCCUCAUGACUGACCUGGUUCUCCAGCCUGAGACUGAACACUCAAGCUGCUGACACCCAGUCUUCUAGAACCAGCUACUCUUAGAAGAUAUAGAGGAACCGCAAGGUUCACGGCCACAGGCCCAGCCCUGACACGCUAGGCUCAUUUCUCUCCUCAGCUGAUUUUAAUUGGGUUCAGAAGACUGGAUGUCUAUAGUCCCAUACCAUGGACUAUAGUUGGGAGGCACGGAGUCCUGGGCUACGGUUUGAGGGUAAGGGUGGGGUAUCACACAGUUAUCACACCAUCAAAAC